UAUAAUGGGAAGAAAGUGCUUGUCAUUGUGCCUAGAAUGUAAAUAGAAUCUUAUAAUUUAUCAUUUCUAAAAUUGUACACACAUGUUUCACAUACUUGUCUGUGUAUUUGCUGUAGUUCACCAUAAAAACUGUUUAAACAAAAGAGCAGGGACAAAUUUGCAAGGGUCUUGAAUGCCAGAAUGAGGAGUUUGAAGACUAAAUUUUAUCCUACAGUUAUGAGGGAACUGUUGGUAUCUCUGAACAAUGUUUGAGACCCAGAGUCAGACAACUUCCUUCCCAUUUGCCACUAAAAACUACCUGGGAAAUUCUGUGGAACAUCAUUUCCUGAAGGAUCACACACACAUUCACCAACACAGGAUGAACUGACCUGCCUUCUACAGGUUUCUUCCACUAGAACCUUGACAGAGUAGACAAAAAAUUAUAGCUCAUCCACCAAUCUACUUUGUGCUGUAUGUGAAAUGCAUAAACACUGGACAUAAUCAGGUAGUAAUUCCUGCUCCAUCACUAAGUUAUGGGCUUGUACAAAUUAAUCAAUUCUUCUGAGACUCUACAAUAAGGAUAAUAUCACUAAGCUGAUAGGUGCUUAGAAUUAGAAGAGUCUAAUGCAGUGCCUGGUAAUAGGUGCUGCUAGAUAAUCUGUGUUUUUAUUUCCUACCCCUUUGGAACACUACACUGAAGUUUUGUGAAUCAUAGGCCCCUAGAGUUCUCUUUCUUACACAUGUGAGAAAACUGAGUUCCAGUUCUGACCAACUUUGUUUAGAAAGUGGCUUACUGAAAUAUCUUUCAGAGUUGACACCUGAAUACCUCAGAUUCUUAUCCAGCCUUCUCCUUCACACUGUAUGGGCUGAAGAGCCUAGCUUCACCAGUCACCUUGCUCAUGCCUUUGGGACUUGCAGAUGUGUCUUAUCUGCUCCUGCUGUUUGGUCAACAGUCUUUCAGAAGAUGCCUGUUCCAUCGUAAAGUGAUCCAAGAACAACCAAACCCCAAGUCUUCUCCUUUCCAGAAGAACACAAGAAAAAACUCUUCUGAACCUUUCCUGGGAUGGCCAGGGACAUGGAUGAAUCUGGAAAACAUCAUCCUCAGCAAACUGACACAAGAACAGAAAAUGAAACACCGCAUAUCCUCACUCAUAGGAGGGUGAUGAAAAAUGAGAACACAUGGACACAGAAAGGGGAGUACUAAACACUGGGGUCUAUUGGAGGGAAAAGGGGAGGGCCAGUGGGAGGGGGAGGUGGGGAGGGAUAGCCUGGAGAGAAAUGCCAAAUGUGGGUGAAGGGGAGAAGAAAAGCAAAGCACACUGCCAUGUGUGUACCUACGCAACUGUCUUGCAUGCUCUGCUCAUGUACCCCAAAACCUAAAAUCCAAUAAAAAAUUAAAAAAAAAAAAAAGAAAUAAAACU
rnacentral:lncRNA from 13 species